UAGCUCUAUGUCUCUCUCUUCUCCCUUUCUCCCAUCCCAGCCACUAUUCCCACAGUCAAGUGAGCAUUUGAUGACACAUGAUCCACAGUUCACAUGACUGCUCCCCUUAAAAGUGUCAAGUUUGCUUGGUGCGACUCUGAUUUGCCUCAGAGCAAAGAUCUGUCUUAGUCUGAGCAUAUUCCACGCAGGUUACUUGUAUUUAGCGGGGGCAUGUAAGCAAAAAAAAAAAUUCAGUGACUUUCUUUUCCUGACUCUUUCUCUCCGUGCCGUCUCUCCCUCUUGGCAGACGGGUAAAAGUGGGCAGGGAGAGAGAAGGGCAUGGCCCAAAGGCUGCUCUCAAGCCCCAGCCCCUGUUCGAGUGGGGUUGGUUGCUGGUACAGUACUCAGCCUUUCCCUCGUCUUGCAGGCGAAAGAGAGGGAUGUGGAAAUGCAUUCUUUUCUCUUUUCUAACCCGCCUUUUUUUUUUUUUUUUUUUUUUCUUUCGUCGCCACCAUGGCCUUAUUGUCUGCGGGUGAACACUAGCCUGAUCUUGACAAAAAACUCAGUUUGACCUUCAGGUUUCCACGGCUACCUGCAAAAACUUAUCUGUCCUUAAGGCUGAGGAAACAGGUUAAUCUGCUGUGAUGCUGAAGACUCCGUCCACCUGGGAAGCUCCGUAGAUAAAGGACCUCGUGGACUGAGAACCCUUCCCACACAUGUGGAGAGACAAACCGCAGAGGCUCUGGCAAUAUUGUCUGAAGUUGGUACAUAAUGACAAAAGUUUGGUUUUAAGGAGAUUUGUUUGUGCCUGAAAUUGAGCCUAGCAAGGUGAGGUAGUAGGUUGUAUAGUUUGUGGGAUGGAGUAAAUCCUACUCGGGUGAUAACUAUACAGUCUAUUACCUUCCUUGAGGGGUACAAUGAGUGCGUGGAAUGAGGCUCGCUCACUGCCACAUAAGACGAGAUAGUCACUCUGAUGUCAUCUUGUGGACAAAGUCUGAUAUUACUCUGUGAAUGCUGUAAACCUGGGGGACCUCUACUGUGUGCAUCUGGAGUUUUCUGGGACAAAUAAUUUAAUAAAUAUAAUUUAUUAAAAUUAUAUUUUAUAUUUUAAAUAUGUUUUUAAGCAAUUGGAAAAAAAUUAUAAAUUUCCUUCUGCUUUGAUGAGGUAGCAACUAAACUUUGAAUGUUAUUCAGCGUAAAUAAACAAUGAUUUACAACAUA